UUAGACCUUAUACCCAAAGAAACCCUAAACAUUAGGGCUAAACCUUAAGAAACCCUAAACUUUAAGAAUUAAAAAAAAACCCUAAAAAUCUUUUAAAACCCUAAAGUUUUAAAAACCGUAAACCCUAAAAACCUAUAAAAUCCGUAAUAUCUAAUAACCCCUUAAUCGUUAACAAACCAUAAAAAAUCCUAAACACCUUAAAAACCCUAAACCUAAAAAUUCCUCAAAAACCUAAUAAAACCCUAGAAAAUCUUAAGCCCAAAACCCUAAUUCCUAAAAAGGCUAAAAAAAAUCCAAACCCUAAGAAAUCCUAAACGCUAAAUAAUAUACCCUAAGAAACUCUAAAUCCUUAACUCUAAAUCAUUGGGCUAAACCUUAAACGCCAAACCAUAAUGGAAUCCUAAGAAAUCCUACACCUUAAAAUCCAUUUAAACACCUAAAAUUAUAAUACCCGAGGAAAAAAAAAUCCCUUUAAAACUAUAAGACCUAGAAAAAACCCUAAAUAUAUUAGGCUUACGUAAUACUAUAUCUUAAGAAAUCCAAAUUCUUAAAAAACCUAAGAAACCCUAAAAACAUAUGAAAACCUUAAUCAUAAAAAUCAUAAACCCAAAAUAAACCAUAAACUCUAAAAAACACUUAACCUGAAAUUCGAAUCCCUAAAACAUAAACGAAGAAACCCUAAGAAACUCAAAACCUUAAACCCUUAUAAACCCUAAUACCUUAAAACCUAAGAUCCUAAACCCUAAACCCUAAAAAAUCUAUAAGAAAUCCUAAACCCUAAAAAUCACUAACAAAAACUAAACCCUAAAAAACCUAAAAAAAAAAACUUUAAAACCCCUAAACCUAAAGAACCCUAAAUCCCAAAGUCUAAACCUUCAACCCUAAACACUUAAAAUCAUAAGCCCAAAACUCUAAACCCAAAAAAAGCACUAAGAAACCCCCAAACCCUAAACCCAAAAAAGCACUAAGAAACCCGAAACCCUAGAAAACAGUAAAUUUAUUUUUUAUAAACUCUAACCCUAGAAAACCUUUUAAAAAAUCUCAAACCUAACAAACCUAAACCCUAUUCUAAGAAAAACCCUAAACCUAAAACACUAAACCCUACACACUGAAUGACCCAAAAAAACCUAGGAGUCCUUAAAUGUUCAAAUCAAACCCUAAGAAACCUAAACCCUAAACCUUAGGGUUAUCACCCUACCCUAAGCCUUAUGAAACUCUAAGAAGCCCUAAACCCUAAGAAAUCCUAAAUCCUAAAAAAUAUAAAUAUUAAGAAACAACAAAAAAAACAUUAAAAAUUAAAAUCCUAAAAAAUAUAAAUAUUAAAAAACAACAAAAAAAAUAUUAAAAAUUAUAAACCUAAAAAAUCUUAAACUUAACAAACCUAAACCCUAAACCGUAGAAAAACCCUAAACCUAAAACACUAAACCCUAAACACCUACACCCUAAAUGACCCAAAAAAGACUUAGGAGACCUUCAAUGUUUAACUCAAACCCUAAGAAACUUAAACCCUAAACCUUAGGGAGAAACCCCCAACCCUAAGCCUUAUGUAACUCUAAGAAGCCCUAAACCCUAAUAAAUCCUAAGAAGAGGUAAACAAUAAAAACCUUUAAAACCCUAAAACUAAAAAUUCCAAAAACAAACCUUAAAAACCCUAAAAAAAUUACCUUAGUCUAAAACCCUAAGUCCUAAGCCUUUAGAACUCAUAUAUCGUAAAAACAAUAUUGAUCUUAAAAAAUCUUCAUCAAUCCUAAAUUGAAAACAACUCUUGACCUAAAAUUUUUGAGAAAAAACUUAAGCUCUAAACCCUAACCUAAAUUCUUAUUCAUCAUGUUCAGAUUAUAUUAUUCUUCAAUAUGCUCUGUUAACCUAUAUAUAUUUGUUCAACUUUGUCAUGUCAUGCAUGCUCUGAAUCUUUCAACUGUUGAUACAUACUCUACCUUACCUCUUCUCUUGAUGUAGGUUCAGGUCCUCAUCAUUCAGAUCACGCGGAGAUCGAUUCCCUAUCCGUAUUCAGCAAUAACAGUGGUGAAUCCUCAUUUUUCGAGGAUGAUUUACAUGUAUUUUAUUCAAUCUUUCAUUUUGGGUUCAGUUUUGCUAGAGUUUGCUGGGGGCUUGUCCCAACAUCUCUAGUUAGUUAGAGGCUUUUAUUCAUACAUUGUUUUUGUCACUCUCCGAGGUUACCCGCUUGACGUAACACGAGACCGAGGAUCACGAGUGACCACAAGCUAACCUUGAGUUGGCAUAUCAUAAACAUAUUAGAUCAACACCUUUAAAAGCCUAAAAUCUAAGAAAUCUAAAACCCCUAAGAAACCCUAAACCCUAAGAAACACUAAACCCUAAACCUUAGGGAAACCCCAAGACUUAUGAAACACCAACAAACCCUAAAGCCUAAGAAAUCCUAAAGCCUAAAAACACCUUUAAAAAUACUAAACCUAAAAACACCCUUAAAACCCGUAACCCCUAAAAACUCUAAAUUUAAAAUCCUAAGCCCUUAACCCAAAGAAACCCUAAGCCUUAAGAACCCCUAAAUCGUAAGAAAUCAUAACAAUCAUGAAAACCCCUUUUAAAAUCCUAAACCCUAAGAAACACUAAACCCUAAACCUUAGGGAAACCCCUAAACCUCAAGACUUGUGAAACACCAACAAACCCUAAAGCCUAAGAAAUCCUAAAGCCUAAAAACACCUUUAAAAAUACUAAACCUAAAAACACCCUUAAAACCCGUAACCCAUAAAAACCCUAUAUUUAAAAUCCUAAGUCCUUAACCCAAAGAAAUUCUAAGCCCUAAGAACCCCUAAACCGUAGGAAAUCAUAACAAUCAUGAAAACCCCUUUUAAAAUCUUAAACUUAAAAAAACUCUAAAUCUAAAAAAUUCAACAAAAACUUAAGCCCUAAACAUUAAAAACCCUUCAAUAAAAACUUAGACCUUAUACCCAAAGAAACCAAAAACCAUAGGGCUAAACCAUAAGAAACCCUAAACUUUAAGAAAUAAAAAACAAUCCUAAAAAACUUUUAAAACCCUAAACUUUUAAUACUGUAAACCCUAAAAACCCUAUAAAAUCUGUAAGAUUGAAGAACCCCUUAAAACCCCUAAAUCUAAAGAACCCUAAAUCCCAAACUCUAAACUUUGAACCCUAAACCCUUAAAAAUCAUAAGCCGAAAACCCUAACCCUAAGAAAACCACAAACCCUAAACCCAAAAAAGCACUAAGAAACCCAAAACCCUAGAAAACAAUAAAUUCAUUUUUAUAACCUCUAACCCUAGAAAACCUCUAAAAAAUCUUAAACCUAACAAACUUGAUCCCUAUUCUAGAAAAACCCUAAAACUAAACCCUACACCCUGAAUGACCCAAAAAUAACCUAGGAGACCUUAAAUGUUCAACUCAAACCCUAAGAAACCUAAUCCCUAAACCAUAGGGAUAAACCCUCAACCCUAAGCCUUAUGAAACAAUAAGCAGCCCUAAACCCUAAGAAAUCCUAAAUCCUAAGAAAAUAUAAACAUUAAAAAACAAUAGUUUUUUUUUUACAAACUCUAAACCUAAAAAAUAUUAAACCUAACAAACCUAAAACCCUAAACCAUAGAAACCCCUAAACCUAAAACAUAAAACCCUAAACCACCUAAACCCCUAGACCCUAAAUGACCCAAAAAAAAAACCUAGUAGACCUUAAAUGUUAAACUCACACCCUAAAAAGCUUAAACCCUAAACCUUAGGGAUAAGCCUGGACCUUAGCCUUAUGAAACUCUAAGAAGCCCUAAACCCUAAGAAAUCCUAAAUCCUAAAAAACAUAAACUAUAAAAAACAAAAAAAAAACAUUAAAAACUCUAAACCUAAAUAAUCAUAAACCUAACAAACCUAAACCCUAAACCGUAGGAAAACCCUAAACCUAAAACACUAAUCCCUAAACACCUACACCCUAAAUGACUCAAAAAAACCCUAGGAGACCUUAAAUGUUAAACUCAAACCCUAAGAAACUUAAACCCCAAACCUUAGGGAUAAACCCCCAACCCUAAGCCUUAUGAAACUCUAAGAAUCCCUAAACCCUAAGAAUUCCUACGAAGAGCUAAACAAUAAAAACCUUUAAAACCCUAAAAUUAAAAAUUCCAAAAACAAACCUUAAUAAUCCUAAAAAAAUUCCAUAAUCUAAAACCCUAAGACCUAAGCCCUUAGAACUCAUAUAUCGUAAAAUUAAUAUUGAUCCUGAAAAAUCUUUAUCAAUCCUAAAUUGAAAACAACUCUUGACCUAAAAUUUUUUAGAAAAACUUAAGCUCUAAACCCUAACCUAAAUACCCUUAAACAAAAACCUAAACUCUUAUUCAUCAUGUUCAGAUUAUAUUAUUCUUCAAUAUGCUCUGUUAGGUUAUGUAUAUUUGUUUAGCUUUGUCAUGUCAUGCAUGCUCAGAAUCUUUCAACUACAGAUACAUAAUCUACCCUACAUCUUCUCUUGAUGUAGGUUCACGUCCUCAACAUUAGAUCACGCGAAGAUCGGUUCCCGAUCCGUAUUCAGCAAUAUCAGUGGUGAGUCCUCGUUUUUCGAAGAUGAUUUACAUGUUUUUAUAUUCAGUCUUUCAUUUUUGUUUCAGUUUUGCGAGAGUUAGCUGGGGGCUUGUCCCAGCAUCUCUAGUUAGUUAGAGGCUUUUAUUCAUAGAUUGUUUGUCACUCCCGAGGUUACCGGGUUGACGUAACACGAGACCUAGGAUCACGAGUGACCCCAAACUAUCCUUGAGUUGGCAUAUCAUAAGCAUAUUAGAUCAACACCUUUAAAAGCCUAAUCUAAGAAAUCUAAAACCCCUAAGAAACACUAAAUCCUAAGAAACACUAAACCCUAAACCUUAGGGAAACCCCAAGACCUUUGUAACACCAACAUACCCUAAAGCCUAAGAAAUCCUAAAUCCUAAAAUCACCGUUAAAAGAACUAAACCUAAAAACACCCUUAAAACCUGUAACGCCUAAAAACACUAAAUUUAAAAUCCUAAGCCCUUAACCCAAAGAAACCCUGAGACUUAAGAACACCUAAAUCGUAAGAAAUCAUAACAAUCUUGAUAAUCCCUUUUAAAAUCCUAAAUCCUAAGAAACACUAAACACUAAACCUUUGGGAAACCCCUAAACCUCAAGACUUGUGAAACACCAACAAACCCUAAAGCAUAAGAAAUACUAAAGCCUAAAAAUGAAAUCCUAAAGCCUAAAAACCUCCUUAAAAAUACUAAGCCUAAAAACACCCUUAAAACCCGUAACACCUAAAAACCCUAAAUUUAAAAUCCUAAGCCCUUAACCCAAAGAAACCCUAAGCCUUAAGAACCCCUAAACCGUAGGAAAUCAUAACAAUCUUGAAAACCCCUUUUAAAUUCCUAAACCUAAAAAAAUUUUAAACCUAAAAAUUUUUACAAAAACUUAAGCCCUAAACCUUAAAAACCCUUAAAUAAAAACUUAGACCUUAUACCCAAACAAACCCUAAACUUUAGAGCUAAACCUUAAGAAACCCUAAACUUUAAGAAAUAAAAAAAAACCCUAAAAAACUUUUAAAACCCUAAACUUUUAAAAACCGUAAACCCUAAAAACCCUAUAAAAUCCGUAAGAUCUAAGAAGCCCUUAAUCGUUAACAAACCAUAAAAAUCCUAAACACCUUAAAACCCUAAACCU
rnacentral:lncRNA from 1 species